UCGAGAAUCUUUCACAAUGGGGGCAACCCUGAUGGAGCGACGCCGCGUGGAGGAUAAGGUCUUCGGAUUGUAAACUCCUGUCAUGCGCGAACAAGGUUGCAGGGUUAAUAACCUUGCAAAUUGAUGGUACCGCAAGAGGAAGAGACGGCUAACUCUGUGCCAGCAGCCGCGGUAAUACAGAGGUCUCAAGCGUUGUUCGGAAUCACUGGGCGUAAAGGGUGCGUAGGUGGCGUGGUAAGUCAGAUGUGAAAGCCCAGGGCUCAACCCUGGAAUUGCAUCCGAUACUGCCAUGCUAGAGUAUUGAAGAGGUGACUAGAAUUCUCGGUGUAGCAGUGAAAUGCGUAGAUAUCGAGAGGAAUACCAAAGGCGAAGGCAGGUCACUGGGCAAUUACUGACACUGAGGCACGAAGGCUAGGGGAGCAAACG
rnacentral:rRNA from 1 species